UGAGGAAUAUUGGUCAAUGGGCGCGAGCCUGAACCAGCCAAGUAGCGUGAAGGAUGAAGGUCCUACGGAUUGUAAACUUCUUUUAUAAGGGAAUAAAGUCACCCACGUGUGGGUGUUUGUAUGUACCUUAUGAAUAAGCAUCGGCUAACUCCGUGCCAGCAGCCGCGGUAAUACGGAGGAUGCGAGCGUUAUCCGGAUUUAUUGGGUUUAAAGGGAGCGUAGACGGGCCGUUAAGUCAGCUGUGAAAGUUUGAGGCUCAACCUUAAAAUUGCAGUUGAUACUGGCGUCCUUGAGUACGGUUGAGGCAGGCGGAAUUCGUGGUGUAGCGGUGAAAUGCUUAGAUAUCACGAAGAACCCCGAUUGCGAAGGCAGCCUGCUAAACCGCCACUGACGUUGAGGCUCGAAAGUGUGGGUAUCAAACAGGAUUAGAUACCCUGGUAGUCCACACGGUAAACGAUGGAUACUCGCUGUUGGCGAUAGACUGUCAGCGGCUUAGCGAAAGCGUUAAGUAUCCCACCUGGGGAGUACGCCGGCAACGGUGAAACUCAAAGGAAUUGACGGGGGCCCGCACAAGCGGAGGAACAUGUGGUUUAAUUCGAUGAUACGCGAGGAACCUUACCCGGGCUUAAAUUGCAGACGAAUUGCUUGGAAACAGGCAAGCCGCAAGGCGUCUGUGAAGGUGCUGCAUGGUUGUCGUCAGCUCGUGCCGUGAGGUGUCGGCUUAAGUGCCAUAACGAGCGCAACCCUCGUGUCCAGUUACUAGCAGGUUAUGCUGAGGACUCUGGACAGACUGCCAUCGUAAGAUGUGAGGAAGGUGGGGAUGACGUCAAAUCAGCACGGCCCUUACGUCCGGGGCUACACACGUGUUACAAUGGGGGGUACAGCAGGCAGCUACCGGGCGACCGGAUGCCAAUCCCGAAAGCCUCUCUCAGUUCGGACUGGAGUCUGCAACCCGACUCCACGAAGCUGGAUUCGCUAGUAAUCGCGCAUCAGCCACGGCGCGGUGAAUACGUUCCC
rnacentral:rRNA from 1 species